rnacentral:rRNA from 1 species
AGCAGCCGCGGUAAUUCCAGCUCCAAUAGCGUAUAUUAAAGUUGUUGCAGUUAAAAAGCUCGUAGUUGAAUUUCGGGGUUAGUAGGUUGGUCGUGCCACUGGUAUGUACUGGCUCUACUGAUCCCUCCUUCUUGUAGAACCGUAAUGCCAUUAACUUGGUGUUGCGGGGAAACAGGACUGUUACUUUGAAAAAAUUAGAGUGUUUAAAGCAGGCUAACGCUUGAAUACAUUAGCAUGGAAUAAUGAAAUAGGACGCUCGAUCCUAUUUUGUUGGUUUCUAGGAUUGACGUAAUGAUUAAUAGGGAUAGUUGGGGGCAUUAGUAUUCAAUUGUCAGAGGUGAAAUUCUUGGAUUUAUUGAAGACUAACUACUGCGAAAGCAUUUGCCAAGGAUGUUUUCAUUAAUCAAGAACGAAAGUUAGGGGAUCGAAGACGAUCAGAUACCGUCGUAGUCUUAACCAUAAACUAUGCCGACUAGGGAUCGGAUGACGUUAAUUUUUUAAUGACUCAUUCGGCGCCUUA